rnacentral:rRNA from 1 species
GAUGAACGCUGGCGGCGUGCCUAAUACAUGCAAGUCGAGCGAACAGACGAGGAGCUUGCUCCUCUGACGUUAGCGGCGGACGGGUGAGUAACACGUGGAUAACCUACCUAUAAGACUGGGAUAACUUCGGGAAACCGGAGCUAAUACCGGAUAAUAUAUUGAACCGCAUGGUUCAAUAGUGAAAGACGGUUUUGCUGUCACUUAUAGAUGGAUCCGCGCCGCAUUAGCUAGUUGGUAAGGUAACGGCUUACCAAGGCAACGAUGCGUAGCCGACCCGAGAGGGUGAUCGGCCACACUGGAACUGAGACACGGUCCAGACUCCUACGGGAGGCAGCAGUAGGGAAUCUUCCGCAAUGGGCGAAAGCCUGACGGAGCAACGCCGCGUGAGUGAUGAAGGUCUUCGGAUCGUAAAACUCUGUUAUUAGGGAAGAACAAAUGUGUAAGUAACUAUGCACGUCUUGACGGUACCUAAUCGGAAAGCCACGGCUAACUACGUG